CCAGGUCCUCCAAGGGAAACAGUGGAAGCCUUUAUUGUUCAUAAAAGUUGCAACUAAAUUCGGACUGGAUAAAGCUUAAGGAAAUACCUCUUGGAGGACAACCCUGCCUCGGCUGCUGGAAGCCGAUGAGAAAUAGCCCUGCUUCUUGCAUCCCGGAGCUGUUCAGCCUGUUUGGCACUGCUGCUGCUUCAGAAACAACAACAGAGCGAGGAAAAACCUGUCUAGACACCGUUUACCUUCCAUCAACUCCCAUUGCCACAUCAAAGCACCACUUCAAACAAACCUACAAACUGGCCAAGUAAUAAUCCCCGGCUCUCCUGUGUCUGCUCCAGCCAGAGGCAGGCAGAUCCGUCCCAUCGUGCUUCAGAGUUCAUCUUUAAUCCGAGCUCUUCUGAGAACAGGAAGAGAGAGAGGAUGAAAAAUCUCAUUACAGGACCAUCAUCAGAAGUCACCUGGCCUCAUGCUACUCAAGGAGGACCCACGUUCUUUCUGCUCAGCAUCCAGGUACAAGCAGAAAUCUCACCUGCCUCCUAUCAGCAAUCUGCAAACAUCCUUUGAAAAGCAACCAUGUAAAGGAAAGCAAGCUUCUCAGCAGACCUUUGCUGGGGCUGGAGCAGGCAGUGAUGCACAGGGGCUCUCCCACUGCUGUGCAGCACGUGGCGUACAGCUUGCCAGCACGCUGCAUUCGUCUGAAAUUGGACGAGACAGAGUGCUGCGCUGCAAAAAUCCACUAAAGGGCAAGCCGGUGGCUGUGCUGCCAUCAAUUGUUUCAGACGCAGUUCUCUGCUUGAAAAGGGAUUGCAACGUGAGGGCUGCUUAUCAUCCCGAGCAAGCAGCUUUGCAGCAGUUUUAAGAGCCAGGCAGGUCUGAGGUCUGCAGCGCAUCAGGUGCUGCACAGACACGUUCUGAACGGACCUGAAGCCUGGUUCCACGGACCCCUUACCUCCCCAAAGCCGUCUGUAUGAAUGCUGAGCAAACUGUGCCACUAACCAGAGAUCAAAGAUCCUAUGCUACCCAGGGAAACUGAAGUCACCAAGAGCUACAAGCAGCUUGUCCACCACGAGGCAGCAAGUCACUGAGUGGGAUGAAGUCACACGAGCUCAGGUAAAUGCUCAAGAUACCUCGAACCCAAAGGGGCAACAACAGCAUUAAAGGAGGUGGAGAGGCUUUUAGGUCACUUGAGCACAAAUUACUUGAAGGCACGUUUGGGGAAGCACCUGGCACUAGCAUCAAGCCCUGGCCCUGUGCAGCAUCCACAACAGCAACAUCUAGCUCAUUAUUAUAAUAAGGGUCUUUUGAAAUACCUUCUGUGUGAGAGACAGCUAAGAAAAUCCAGUCUGGCUUUAUUCUGUCUCAGGCAGAAACAGCCUUUAUUUAGCAAACUGUUGCUAACAGCUCUGUCUCAUUAGGCAGUGUUUAGGGAACCAGGCUGCAAUUGUUCUGAAGCCUGGUGUUGCAGAAAGCCUUGCUAAUGAGGUCUAAAGGAGACGAUUCCUCCUGACAGGCCCACAAUGACCUAGAAAUCCUACUUAAUUCCCUGUCAGUGAAAAAGUGCUGAGUAACACUGAGGUGCAGAGGCGCUGGGGGCUGAUUUGGGAGGGAGGCUGUGGCCUCUGUUCACACUUUGGGCUGUGACGCAAGAGCUCUAGGGCAGAAAAGUCAGCACUGCUCAGCUACGCAGCAGCUCCCCAGACGAAGCAGAGGCUUGGCUCGGCGUGCAGAUAAGCAGGGACUUGCUGUGGGAAGGUUUCUAGCCUGGUCUGUAGAAGACUUGCCACCAUGCAGAGCAUGCAGUGUUGGGAGUGGAUGUCUCUGCUUAACACAAUAGAGGAGACAGGAUUAGGUGCUUAGAAAGAGCAAGGCUCUAGCUAGGGUAGCUAGGGCACCUCUGGAGGCCCUCAGUGGCAGCACCUGGAUGUGGUCUUCUCAGUGCUCGUCUCCUCUGGAUCACGCUUGCUUACAAACUGUGCCAAAACCCCUGCCAAGACCCUGACUCAAUUAACUCAAUUUUACCUACGUGCCCAGCAGCUCACAAACUUCACCUGCAGUGCUACCAGUAGAGACCGUGGUAUGUGCUACCUGGGGAACAGCAUCUCCUGCCGCUUGCUGGUCUCCUCUGGCUUGGAUGUGGGAUGAGCAGCGGCUGCUCCAGCAGGCUGUGCAUGUGCCCCGAAGGUGGUGUUAAGCUUUUGACACAUUCUGCCCCAACCACUUUUCCUUAUUUCCUUAGAGGAAAAUGCAGCAGGCUGGCACAAGCCAGGACCACAGACAUGCUGCUUUCAAGUGGUUUGCUUUCGACAAGCAGUGUGCGUGCCGUGAUUAGCAUCCUCUGGACUGGGUGGCCCGGAGCCAGCCAGGCCAGAAGCUGAGGUACAGGGACUCAGCUGGAAUGUGGGCUGGAUGCAGCUGACCUCGAAGACCAUCCCCAGUAAAGACCCUUGCAGGCAUGUGCUAGCCACCUGUUUCAGCCAGCAGACGAGGGACUCAACCAGGAAUUCUGGAACUGAAUGCACAGUCUGUUAAAGAGGGGUCUGAAGACUCCCACCCACCGUGAAGCUGUCGCUGAUGUAUGCUCCCGUGCAGACUCAGAGCACAGGAAUGCAUCUUUGCCCAUCACGUGCAAGACUGCUACUCCCUUACUGCAGAUGCAUCCCUGUUUAAAGUACAGCUCAAAUCCACAAAGGACGGCUGUGGGGAAAGAAAAGAAGUGGAAAUAAAAUCGCCAGCCGAAAUAACAUCUAGAGACAGUCUUAAAGUAAGUAAUGAGCUGGGGAGCCUCUGUUUCUGAGAUGCCUCGAGUAGUGUGAUUUCAAAAGACGUCAAAGGGCUGCCCUGUGGGUCAGCUCCCUUUCAAAACAUGUCAGGCAGUGCCUCGGAGAUCACCAGUCGCUUUGGACUAUCUAGGCCCUAGUUUCCCUUAGCAGAUCCCAGGUCAUGUUGUUUUUUAUCGCUGUUUUCCAGCUGCCGGUGCCAGAGCCCAGCCUGAUGCCUCAAAUUGAGCCCACCAGAAGCAGGACGCUGAAGAGACCUAGCUGCCUCUGCACUUUAUCUGCUUGGGCUCUGCUGGCACAGACAGGGGAUCUGCUCAGAGCCAUGAGGAAAAGACAUAUGCUGCGAAAGGAAGGACCAGCUUUAUUUUACCAGCCUGUGUUCGCACCAGAAGUGUGCUUUAAAGACUGCCUUGCAAAGUAGGAAUUAAAUCCAAAGGUGCCUAUGCAUCUUCCUCGCUGUCAUCCCUUUAUCAGUUAUCUCCAGCCUGCUCUGAGCUAGAAGAUGAAAGGAUCAUAACACCACUUAUCUUCCCACUUAAGAACAUGCUUAGCAGCUUGCUGCUAAAGAGGAGGAUACUCAAGCCUUGGGAAGCAGCUGUAAAUUCUGCAAAUGGGUUCCCUGGCAUUUCUUUGAAGGAGAUAUUGCUUCUCAAUGAGGGAUACAGAAAGGAAACCAGGGAGGGAGGAGAAGAGGGAAGUCUUUGUAGCAAAGAAAACUUUGCCUCAUGUCAAGAACGUGAAGCUGAGUGACAGAUGUGAGACUUAAGGCAUGUGUGUCUCAGAAGUGACCGAGCAUGAGCCAGGAACUGAAAGGCUCUUGGGAAGUAUUUAGGCAGCCAGACUUGUCAUGUUUGUCACUAGACCACAAGAAGCUCCAAAAACACACUCUUCAAGACUGUGCAGUGCUACAGCCAAGAACGUUAGGGAUCCCCUUACAUGCUGCGGGCAGAACUUGUGCACACAACCAGCUCCAGCUCCAACAAGUCCUCUGAGCCUCUCCCUUAACGACAGGUAAGGGGUAAAUCUGCUGCCUCACCUCCGGACCUGACCCUCAUCUCCUCUCUUCCCAGAGCUACUCGUUAUCACGCUGAAGCUGGGUCCGUGCCUUUGUCUAUGCUUAGCAGCUGAGUCAAACUGUCAGAGCUGCCAAAGAGAGUCUGUUCCAAAUAUUUGCGAAAAGAGGAGGCUCAGGGAGCCUGCAGCAGAACGCCACGAUCCUCCUGGCGAGCAGAACAAUCGCUCUUGUGGACCGGCUGCGGGCUGCUGGUGGGUGACAAGCACGCCUUGCAGCAGCCUCGGGAAGGAGCUCCCAAUUCCUGCCGUGCUCACGGACCACCACAAACGAACUGGGAUCUCGAAUUCCCUCUGGCCCCUGGCAAUGCCCCAGCAAUCCGGCCCUGCACUCACCAGCCCUGAUCGCAGCUCAGCUGUUGGGAUGGAGAACCCAAGAUGCAGUUGGUAGCGGGGAGAGGGGGGCACUGGAGCGCCUCAGAAGCUGUUGCCAGCCAAAAUGCUGACUUCAAAGGGCUUAUCUUGCCCUGCGUGGGAGAUCGUGCAGCGCCUGUGGGCAAGGACAGCUGUUUGGCCAGGCCCAGCAGAGAAUUUCUGAGGGAAGAAGAGAGAAGUUCGUACCUGGGUUAACCUCCCCUCCAGCACGCACAAGGCAGAUUUGGCAGGCAGAGCUCCGCACUGCCCUGUUAUUUAUGGGAUGCUGAGAACUGGCCAAAGCAAAGGGAAAACGGCAGGUACGUAAGGACGCUCACCAGCUCGAUAGCCAGGGCUGCUUGAGGGAGGACCCAGGAGAUGCAGGAGGCGAUUACAAGGCACCCUGGCUUUCAUCUUCAGUUCAAAGGCAACUCCAUCAGCGCUGACCAAAUUGUAGCCAACUAAUAGCUGUUUGCUGGUGCACAGGAAUGGAGAUAUGCCAUUGCCUCCUCGCUCCCUGAGAGACCAGACCAACCCCACCACUGCAUUACCUGCAAUCUCAGCAGAGUAGCUAAGAGCAAAGAAGGAUACAGAGCAGCACCUCGUCUGUUGUGGGAGCUCCUAGAUCAACACGGAGCCUUCAUGGCAUGUGUGUCCAUUCCUCUCAGCACAACACAGAUCAGUCAUGCUGAUAAGGGGCUGUAUUUUUUCCUUUUACCUUGGUUGUUGGUCUCUAAACACCUUGACAGAACCAACCCACUCCUCCGAGCAUGGGUGACUCCCACGGAGCAGGGCUGCCGCAGAGGUACGAGGCAUUGUUGUGCACGGAGCUGGGACUUCCUCUCCUAAGGUAUGUUACUGAUGCAGACAACCUCGCCCCGACGGGACGGAUGUUUUCCAGGCUCUAAAAAUACCUCGCUCCAAACACCAUGGUGGGUAUGAAGAAAUGUUUAUCUUCAAGCUUUUGCAGAGAUCAAUGCAGAAGAAAAAGAUUAAAGCGAAGGUUUAAGCGUGCAUUAAAAAUAGCUGUUGAUAAGAUUCUUUUCAGGAUAAAAGCUGUUUUGCAGAAGCAGCAAGAACUGCAGGGCUUUGCAACACCUUCCCUGCCGUUAACUGUGUAAGCUCCCGGAAAUCAUUCAAGAGUGUUAGCAGCCAAAGCGCCCCAGGAGGAAGUCCAUUAGCAGGCAGCAGCCUCCUUAAUGGAUCCUCCGGGUACAUGGCAGAGUUGCCUUCCCCGUGGACACUCAGUGCUGUCCACUGCCGUGAUUCAAGAGCUGUUCGUGCAGCCGUUCUCAUGCAAUACUCUGAGGAAUUCUCUUAAGCUUUAUGGCAGCCCAAUAGCACAAUGAAUUCAUCCUUUGGUAGCUUUCACUGAAUGAGGACACCAAUUGGUACAGUGAGGUUUUUUUGUACAGCACAAUGCAAAGACACACUGAUACAUGAACAGAAGCCAUACGUGCUACUGAAAUGCAGGUAAAAGCCAUAGCAUAUUAUUAAGGCUUUUGUUGUCCAAGGAUAGUGUCAUAGCAAAACAAAAACAUUGUCUCCAAGUCUGAUCUUGGCCCAAAGAGCCAGAGCCUUGUACAUCCAUGUACUACACCUUGCACAUCCAUGUACACCUGUACAUCUAGCAGAGCCUUGUACAUCUAUGUCCAGACAAAACCAUUAAGUUCUCAGCUGUGCAACCACCUCCACUUGAGCAGCCCUGAGCCAGCCAGCAUAGAGCCAUCAGGAGAGAUGUAACGUGCCAGGAACCUUUCUGCUGGGAGCAAAAAGCAGGAUUGCCAUGCAGGGCACUACUGGCUGUAGUAACAGUUACGUAGAAUAAUACUAUGGGCUACUUCAGCAACCACUGAAGGACUUCAGGAUAAAGCCUUAUAACAGUUACACAUCUUGAGACAUACUGGGGAAAUCCUGCUUGACCUCCACUUAUCUGAAAUGAGAAGCAGAAGUUUGUGAGGAGCUGAUUAUCCUCGAGGCCAAUAUUCAAAGUCCUCGGAGUGCUGCUGUCCUGCUCCCCACGGACAGACCCGUUUGCUGGUAAGUCUCUAGCAAGAUUUAGCCUCUCCAGACAAUGCCUCUAAUCUCAAAUUAAUACCGAGGGAAUUAGCACUCUGAAGGGGAGUAAGAAAACACAGGCCUGAGCUUUCCAUCCAAAAAGAAGUCAAGGUUUUUCUUAUUUUUUUAAUUUUUCUUCUGCUUCUAACUACUGAAAACUCUCAUUUGCAGUAUAAGAACUGAAACCCAGCAGGUAUUUCCUCUGCCCCAAGCCCAGCUAUUGACUAAACCAUACCCACACAGUAAUCCAACCCCUUUGGGUGGAAAAUUAAGACUAAGUCCAGAACAUUCAUUAGUGCAAUUAAAGACAUUAAAUGGUUCUUAGGUCAUGUGCUGACUCAGCAAAGGAAUGGGUUUUGUUGCACGGUACACACCCUCCACUACAUGGAACUGACACUUAGUGGUUGAAUUUUGGUUUUGGUCCUGUGUUUAUUAAAAUGUGAUACUCCCUGGGGGUUCAGACAGAGGGCAAACAUCCCUUAUCAAUUGGAAAAAGAUACUGCAGUUCAUAUUCCAGUUGAUGGAGAAGCCAGAUUGAGAAUGUAAUUAUCGUAAUUAAUUUCAUAUCGUGAAUUCAUCUUUUUUUAAUAUAUAAACAUCAGUUUCAAAGCAGGCCACCAGCUUUUAUGCACACAGUAGUUGUUUCUUCCUGUUGAGGGACACAUUUGCAACGCAUGCUCUUGUUUUUGCCGAAAAGAACUGCUGAGGACUUAGGAUCCUGAAAAAUACUUGUUGUUGCUGUGGAAAUUUCCCCCUUGCUAACUCCCUCCCACCACUUUCAGGAGUUCACGAACCUUCUCCGGAUCAUCAGGGCUUGAUGCAAUCAACUGUGAAGCAUUAGCUCUAAAUAUACAACUGGGAGGCCAGUUCUGCUUCAACACCCAGCCACUCAUCGCAAAGAGCGAUAAAGCAGCGAGCGCAAUCUGCAAGCGAAACUUAAAUAAUAAUCCAAGUGAGCUUCAGGGAAAGCGUGAGCAAGUGGGGGGUAACCCUUUGGAGCUGGCAAAAGAUUGGGGCAAACUGGCAGGAGACCCAGAAGCAGGCCCACCCACAGCCAUUAUGCAGAGCAGCUUUUGUCCUUGUUUGUGGAGUUGAAUGCAGCUCAUUCCGCUUUAUUUAUUUGUUUAGGUGAGUUUUGGCAAUUCAACUUGUGUUCCUGGUGCAAAUCCUUAGUGUGUGGACAGAUAACUGAAAAUCAGCCCCAGCAUGCACGCCAAGAGACCCAGGAUACAACUCUCACAAGGAAAAUAAACAGGCCAGUAAAAGAACUGAAGUUCAUGACUGGGGCAACAUCUCUGUCCGCAGCUCUUUCUCCUCACAAAAAUCCCACAUUUUAUUCUCUGAAUCUGCUUCUGCUUCAGUAACCAAGUAAUUCUCUGAAAUAUUCAGAGCAAGAGGGAAUGUGCUGGUGUCACGUUCUUUGUCAACAGCUGUAAAGUUGAUGCGAUCCAAGUACUCUUUGGUGGUAAUGCCAGAUAUUGCUUGCCUGAAUAGGAACACCAAGCCCUUCCUAAGAAUUUUUUUGAAGAGGUUAUUAAGCAUCUCGUUUUGGCAUGGCUCUCAGAGCUGUUUGUCCUGAUUUUUUUUUUUUUUUUACUGCCUGUUGAAAAGAAAGCAAUACUGCAAAUACUUCCCAUCAGAAAACGACAACAAGCAACUUAUCAUAACUGCAAGAAAGCUAACAACAUUUCCACCAAGUGAUUUUUGGCACUGACAGCUGACUCAGAACAGUUGUUGGUGGCUGGGACAGAUGGACUUCAUAUAUAUUAAAAAAAAAAAAAAAGAAAAAGUACUUCUACUUUGUAGGUUUGGAAAAGUCUCUUGCAAAAAUCAGAAUUAAAUCAAAGUAAGAUUUGAAUACACUGAACUUCAAAAGUGAAAUGUGCUAUAAAUAAUCAACAUGUUUUAUUUUUAUCAGGAAAUACUUGAGAAUUUUGGGAAGGGCUCCAUGGUUCUGCCCUCAGUCCAACACAUGAAACCCUCAAACUCCACAUGUUGAUUUCCAGGGGAAAGCUUGCACCAGAGCCAUCGAGGUAGGACUUAACACUGAUGUCAGUUCUAAGCCCUGCUUUCCAUCACUGACACCAAUAACUUCCGCUGGUAUAAUUAUGACCAUGGCAUUUCCCUGAUGUGCAGAAUCUUUAGAUGCUUUUAGUGCCUAAAGCAGGGUACGCACUGACUGCUCCAUGCUUCACUGGCUUCAGUUUCAUGGCAAAGUUUUAAGGCCAUGAUCAAGAGAAGGCGAUCCCUGCUCUGCACUGCUUGCAGUCUAAGAAACACCUUAAAUUUCUAAAGCAGUUUUGCUGUUUGGGAUCACAGCAUCUUGUUAGCCUUGUCAGCUUCCUUUUCUGCUUUUUUUUUUUUUUUUUAACUACUCAGUUGGCAUCAAAUGCAUCCUUACAGUCUCAGUCCUCUGGGACUAUCCAGCACCAGCUUCAGUACGGGUUUAAUCUUACACACAGCUGACAGCCUCACCUUAACAUAGUGGGAUGCCCCCACUAUGUAAACUCAAGUGUAGUGGGACAAGCAUUUUUAUUCUCAGCUUUGGUUCUUUCUGCUCCUCGGGGCUUAUGACCCCAGAUUUGAAAACAGAUGGAAACCAUCGCAGGGGGAGGCACGCCAAUGCAGCCAGAACCCACUGUGUUAAAACUGGGAGCAAGCCUGCUACUCCACUGAGAGAUGCUCUCAGGCAGAGGCCUGAAACUAGUGGUGUUUGGCUGUAUUUAGCAACUUUUGUCUGUCAAAAUAAAUGCAGAGCUAUCUGUAGUUCAUUUCCAGUCUCGCUGCAUUUAGGCCAGAUUCAAUAGGACACUUCAGCACUACUCACACAGGGGAGGAAGGAAAUGAAGUACCUUUCUACCUUGCAGCCCAACCGUAAGGAAAAGUGUGAAGUCUGACAUUUUUCGCAUUCAAAUGGAGCAUCUGAAUCCAAAGUUAGGACCUGGAAGAGUGUGAUGCUCCAGGAUCAGGUACUCACAAUUCCUCCUGCUGAAACUGCUCAGCUACAAAGCACAGCAAAGUGAGUGAACAGACCCUGGAGUGCAGAGCAGGACCAGCUCCUCAUCCCCCAGGCGUUCUCCACCCAAGUGUCUAAGUCACUUCUUUCAUUUUUGGGGUAAUAGUGCCCAAAUCUCACUUCAUUCAAGGCCCCAAAGGCUCUACAAAUCGUUUGGAGUUAAAGAAUCAUUUUGUUUUACCCUUAGAUAAGACGCUUGACAUAUUUCAACACACGUCAAGCUUGAGCUGACCCAGCACAGUUAUUUGUGUGUCUGUGCACACCCAUGCACAGCCCGGUGUAUUUCAGUAGCGGAACUUUCCAAAUCAGUUGCUGAUUGUCACCCUAACCCUGCUCCAUCCCUUUUUGCCUUCUGCCGUCUGCCUGGAAGGGGGGAGGGCGACGCGAGCCCACCGGCUGCUGUCCCCCUCCUCAGCCCCCCACUAUUAAUAGCCAGACAACAAAUGAGCCCGAAUUCAUUCCUGAGCGGAAUUAGCAAAUGUUUUUGCAAUUAAAACUGCAAACAUUCAUGCGGGGCCCUCGGAACAAUAGACGCCUGUGCCUGGGCUUGAAUAGGGACCAGUGUCCGCCCUGCCUGCCUGCCGAGGCUGCACAUUCCUGGCACCCUCAGCCCUCGACCCGCUCCUCGCUGAGCUGGGCUCCUGCAGCCUCCUGCCCCUCGCCCGGCCCCGCUGCCUCCAGCACCGCAGCUUCUUGGGGUCAGGAAUGGGAACGGGGUCAGGGCAGCGCAUCUCCCUGCCCCUUUUCCCUGGGAUUGCAAUCGGGGUACUGCAUUCCCCCUUUUUCCCAGGGAUUGGGCACCACAUUCCCUCCUUCUCCCAGGGACUGGGACACUGCAUGCCCCUUUUUCCCAGGGACCAGGGCACAGCAUCCCCCCUUCUCCCCAGGAUAUGGGCACCACAUCCCCCCCUUCUCUCUGGAGUCACGAUGGGUGCACUGCAUCCCCCCUUCUCCCCGGGACUAGGGCACCACGUUCCCCUUUUUCCCAGGGACCAGGUGCCACAUCCCCCCCUCCUCCCCGGGAUCGGGGCACGGCAUCCCCCUUCUCCCCAGGACCAGGACACCGCAUCCCCCUUUUUCCCAGGGAGCGGGGCACCGCAUCCCCCACUCUUCCCCAGAAUCGCGACCGGGGCACCACAACCCCCUUUUUCCCUGGGACCAGGACACCACAUCCUCCUUGUCCCCGGGACCAGGACACCCCAUCCCCUUUUUCCCCAGGGACGAGGCCACCACCUCCCCCUUUCCCCCAU